rnacentral:misc_RNA from 1 species
AAAGUCGUAACAAGGUCUCCGUUGGUGAACCAGCGGAGGGAUCAUUACAAGAAGCCGAAAGGCUGCUUAAAACCAUCGCGAACCUAUCCAUCAGCGUUGCUUCGGCGGGAGGAGGCCGCGGGGCCGGCGUCUGCCGGUCCCGGGGCCCGGGAACCACACCCUCUCGGGGGUGCGGUGCCCGCCCGCCGGAGGUAUAAAACUCUUCUGCAUCUAUAGUGGAAUCUCUGAGUAAACAAGCAAAUAAGUCAAAACUUUCAACAACGGAUCUCUUGGUUCUG